AGAGUUUGAUCCUGGCUCAGGAUGAACGCUGGCGGCGUGCUUAACACAUGCAAGUCGAACGAACCUUCGGGUUAGUGGCGGACGGGUGAGUAACGCGUGGGAAUCUGCCCUCAGGAGGGGGAUAACGGUUGGAAACGACCGCUAAUACCCCAUAUGCCUACUGGUGAAAUGAAUUUCGCCUGAGGAUGAGCUCGCGUCUGAUUAGCUAGUUGGUGAGGUAAUGGCUCACCAAGGCUUCGAUCAGUAGCUGGUCUGAGAGGAUGAUCAGCCACACUGGGACUGAGACACGGCCCAGACUCCUACGGGAGGCAGCAGUGGGGAAUUUUCCGCAAUGGGCGAAAGCCUGACGGAGCAACGCCGCGUGAGGGACGAAGGCCUCUGGGCUGUAAACCUCUUUUCUCAAGGAAGAAGAUAUGACGGUACUUGAGGAAUAAGCCACGGCUAAUUCCGUGCCAGCAGCCGCGGUAAUACGGGAGUGGCAAGCGUUAUCCGGAAUUAUUGGGCGUAAAGCGUCCGCAGGCGGCCUUUCAAGUCUGCUGUUAAAACGUGGAGCUUAACUCCAUCAUGGCAGUGGAAACUGAUAGGCUUGAGUAUGGUAGGGGCAGAGGGAAUUCCCGGUGUAGCGGUGAAAUGCGUAGAUAUCGGGAAGAACACCAGUGGCGAAGGCGCUCUGCUGGGCCAUUACUGACGCUCAUGGACGAAAGCCAGGGGAGCGAAAGGGAUUAGAUACCCCUGUAGUCCUGGCCGUAAACGAUGAACACUAGGUGUCGGGGGAAUCGACCCCUUCGGUGUCGUAGCUAACGCGUUAAGUGUUCCGCCUGGGGAGUACGCACGCAAGUGUGAAACUCAAAGGAAUUGACGGGGGCCCGCACAAGCGGUGGAGUAUGUGGUUUAAUUCGAUGCAACGCGAAGAACCUUACCAGGGCUUGACAUCCUGCGAACCUUUAAGAAAUUAGAGGGUGCCUUCGGGAACGCAGUGACAGGUGGUGCAUGGCUGUCGUCAGCUCGUGUCGUGAGAUGUUGGGUUAAGUCCCGCAACGAGCGCAACCCACGUUUUUAGUUGCCAGCAUUUAGUUGGGCACUCUAGAAAGACCGCCGGUGAUAAACCGGAGGAAGGUGUGGAUGACGUCAAGUCAUCAUGCCCCUUACGCCCUGGGCUACACACGUACUACAAUGCUACGGACAAAGGGCAGCAAACUCGCGAGAGCUAGCAAAUCCCAUAAACCGUGGCUCAGUUCAGAUCGUAGGCUGCAACUCGCCUACGUGAAGUAGGAAUCGCUAGUAAUCGCAGGUCAGCAUACUGCGGUGAAUACGUUCCCGGGCCUUGUACACACCGCCCGUCACACCAUGGAAGUUGGCCACGCCCGAAGUCGUUACUUUAACCCUUGUGGAGAAGGACGCCGAAGGUGGGGCUGAUGACUGGGGUGAAGUCGUAACAAGGUAGCCGUACCGGAAGGUGCGGCUG
rnacentral:rRNA from 1 species